rnacentral:rRNA from 1 species
UACGUAGGGCGCAAGCGUUGUCCGGAAUUAUUGGGCGUAAAGAGCUCGUAGGCGGCUUGUCACGUCGGGUGUGAAAGCCCGGGGCUUAACCCCGGGUCUGCAUCCGAUACGGGCAGGCUAGAGUGUGGAGGGGAGAUCGAAUCCUGGUGUAGCGGUGAAAUGCGCAGAUAUCAGGAGGAACACCGGUGGCGAAGGCGGAUCUCUGGGCCAUACUGACGUGAGGAGCGAAAGCGUGGGGAGCAACGGG